rnacentral:rRNA from 1 species
CCUACGGGUGGCUGCAGUGGGGAAUAUUGGGCAAUGGGCGAAAGCCUGACCCAGCAAUGCCGCGUGAAUGAAGAAGGUCUUAGGAUUGUAAAAUUCUGUCCUAUGGGAAGAAAAAAAUGACGGUACCAUAGGAGGAAGCCCCGGCUAACUACGUGCCAGCAGCCGCGGUAAUACGUAGGGGGCGAGCGUUGUCCGGAAUUACUGGGCGUAAAGGGCGUGUAGGCGGGAAAGCAAGUCAGAUGUGAAAACCACGGGCUCAACCUGUGGCCUGCAUUUGAAACUGUUUUUCUUGAGUACUGGAGAGGCAGACGGAAUUCCUAGUGUAGCGGUGAAAUGCGUAGAUAUUAGGAGGAACACCAGUGGCGAAGGCGGUCUGCUGGACAGCAACUGACGCUGAGGCGCGAAAGCGUGGGGAGCAAACAGGAUUAGAUACCCGAGUAGUC